rfam:Loxodonta africana unplaced genomic scaffold scaffold_49, whole genome shotgun sequence.
AGUUCCAUGGUGUAAUGGUUAACACUCUGGACUCUGAAUCCAGUGCUCCGAGUUCAAAUCUCGGUGGAGCCU